CAGCCGCCGCGGGAACACGGAGGAUCCGAGCGUUAUCCGGAAUUAUUGGGUUUAAAGGGUGCGUAGGCGGAUAGAUAAGUCAGUGGUGAAAGACGGUGGCUCAACCAUCGCAGUGCCGUUGAUACUGUUUAUCUUGAAUAUGGAUGAGGUAGGCGGAAUGUGGCAAGUAGCGGUGAAAUGCAUAGAUAUGCCACAGAACACCGAUUGCGAAGGCAGCUUACCAAGGCAAAAUUGACGCUGAGGCACGAAAGCGUGGGGAUCGAACAGGAUUAGAGACCCCGGUAGUCCCUGUCUCUUAUAC
rnacentral:rRNA from 1 species